GCAGGAGAGAAGGCAGGCGCAGAGCAGUGAGCGAGGCACGGCCAUGUUCCACCCACGCUGUCACUGCUAGCAGCUGCUUCCUGCCCCUCGCCUGCCACGACCUGAGCAGUCGCCGCACCCUCCGUGCCCCGCAGAAUGUGCGGCACGUGGGAGGCGCUCAUCCACCUGUUAAAUAGCAAACAGAGUUCUCAGGGAGUGUAGCACUAAUGCUGAAUGAAGCCCUUGCAGGAGGGAGCCUUCUGGACCUUUCUGCAGCCCGCCCAAUGGCGCACUGCGAGAACAUAUCCCCUCCAGUCAGUCCUCGAGUGGUGAUGUCCGUUAGUCAGUCUGCAGACACUGCUCCAGGGCCUGGGGAUGUGACUCGUGCACACUCACGCACGCUCUGUCCCCAUGCAGCACGUAAGCAACAAUAAAAGAAUGUAACAGGAGCUGCUGCCACUAUGAGGCCUCUCGUGGUCUGGGCCAGACCAGCUCCUCCCAAUGGCUCUCCUGCUCUUUUCUGUACCCCAUGGUCCCAGUUUGUCACCAAAAUGAUUGGUCCUGGGUAGGCACCUGGUUCAAGGGCAACAGUCCCUAGACUGGCCAAAGCCCUGUGACGUGUCGCCUGGCUCAGAAAGGGGCUUGGCCAACCUAACCCCCUCUCUUAGAAGUGUGUGACUCUGCAGGGCCUGGGGCAGCCAUUUGGACCAUGUGUGAGAGGCAAGACAGCUGUUUGAGAGUAGACUGGAAGAGAGAUGUGGGGGGUAUUUCAGAGAGACAGAUAAAGAAAUGGACACAGAGGCACAGAUACACACAAAAACAGACACAAAAAGACAGACAGGGAGUGGCCCGAACCAGACUGCCUCCUCGGCCUGGCUUUUUCCAGGCCCCUGUACAUGUAUGUACUCUCAACCCAGCUCCCUUCUGCCUGCUCUCACGAGACUGUGCUGCUUGUAACCAGGAGAGCUGACACGCUUCUGAAGAGGCCGAGAGAGCAUGUCCAAGGGCCCCCGGGAUAAAGAGGGCAGCUCAGCCAGCUCCUUCUCGAUGUCAGCCACGGUGACUCUGCGUGCACAAGAGAUGGCCUGGCCCCACCGCCGGCCCAGGGGCCGGGGCCCACCAGCGUUGAACCCCAGCCAUGAGGGAUGAGGAGGAUGCAGACCAGGCUCUUUCUCCCGCCUCCAGCAGGCUGUCUAGAGAGUCGAAGGCCUGGCCUGUCCCGGAGGUGGGUGUCCAGCAUCCUGGCCUGGGAGGCUUCUAGCAGCCCUGGCACUGAGCUGUUUUAAGAACCUGGGAAACUUCUACCAGCAACUUGAACUAGAUUUGGGCAACCUGAACAGCAGGCAUGAUCCAGGUGAAAGACAGUGGUCAGUUCAGAGCACAAGUGAACCAAAGCUGCCAUCACCUUCUCGACUGAGAAUAAGCGACGCCAGGACACAAGCUCCACGUGGCAAGGGCA